ACUUGAGGCUGUGGAAGCCGCGUGCCUGGGGCGUAGACAGGGCUUAGAUCUUUUAGAAGAAAAGAAACCGAUUGCGGUAAAUCCUCUGGACUACGCCGGGUCCUCGGAAGCUGUGCGCUAACCAAAAUCCCCGACGCUGGCAGUUGCCAUUGUUCCCCAGAGGCAUCCACACUAAUGGGACCCAAGUAUUGUGCAGCUUCAUUUUACAGUGAGGAAACUCGGUGUAUGCAGGAUAGGGAACUCUACAUGGACCACAGAAGGCAAAAGCCUGCUGCUUUCCUGUGCAGGGUGGAGUGUACUAAGUUAGCAUCCUGUGAUGUACUUGCCCCAGCCAGCAACAGCAGAGAAGCACACAGGUAACACAGCUCCUUGAAGUUGGACCCUCCAGUGUUGUGUCAUUUGCCUUUCUUUUCUCAAGGGUUGUUGAAGAACCAAGACCAGGUACAUUUCAGCAGUUUCAUGCCCAAUGGUAUCCUGAAGCAGACGUAUACAGUGAUGGCCUGAGAGUCAUCUGGCCAGUGCUCCCAGGCACUGCCUGCCAGUAGCCCCAACCACAUCUGUGCAGCACAGUCCUCAGGACCUACACCAACAUCCCUUGAAAAAAAACAACAGUGUCUUUGUGGGUUUUAGGGGUUUUUUGUUGUUUUGUUGUUUUUUACAUGAAGAGUAGUCUAAACAAAAAUUUACAAAGCUCACUGAACUUAAAAUACUCUGGAAGUGUUGAUCAGCAAGAAGGCUGUGCUUUCAAACCAAAACAUGCCACAGAUGGCACCCAAAAGCAGGCAAUCUGUGAGCCUUCAGUGUGCUGUACACUCCUGGCUGAUAUUGUUUAGGACACCUGUGAACAGAAUGAGUGCUACAGGGCAUGCUCUGGGAGAAACAGUCUCUUCAUCUUCCUUGCCUAAUGCCUCAAUAAGCCAGGGAGCCUGGUGGGCUUCCCAGUGUCAUUAGCCGUGUGGAUCAUGUGGUCUCCUGGGAUGCCUGGUUUAGGUAGCCUCAAAGUUUCCCACUCACAGCUUUCUUGGAGAAAGGACAGUGGGGCAGAUCCCACAACCACUGUCACCACUUAUAAAAAGCAUUUCCCUUAUAAAUGGGACCCACCUGCUCCCUAAGGAAUUUCUAGCACCUAAGUAGCCUAUCACAAUCCAAGUGUCUCUGCCUGCCCUGAAAUAAGCCAAGAACUCUGAUAAGCAGAACAUGCCACAACUUGGCCCAGGAGAUGAGAAACCCAGCCGGGGUGCAAGCUGCAUGCAGACUACUCACUGUACCCCAUAAAGCACCCCAGAGCAUGGAACUGCAGCAGAAAUUGAAAUCUGCGUGCACAGCUAACCUCUUCAGCAACAGAAGCUACCUGAGAGCAAAGAGAAUGGCUCUGUACAACACCCACACACUGUCCUUUGGCUUUUGGUCAGGACUCCACAGACUGUCCAGUGCACAGGCCCUUCUUGAGUGCAUGGAGCUCCCAUGAGUGUCAUCUGUGAGUUUGCCACUGCUCUACCCAUGUAACUGGAAAACUUGUAAGCCAGACACAACUUUCCAUUUCUACCAUCAAUCCUCACAGGAGGGUUUUGGUGUCUAAGUGUCUGAGGACAGCAAGUUGGGUGGGAGUCCUCUACCUGGCCUCUCUUUGAUAGAAGAGUUGCUAAGAACACCAGCUGCAGGAGACUGGAAAUGACCCAACACCAUGGGAGGAAACACAGUACUUGGUCCACACCUUGUGCAGAAGGCAGAUCUCAAACAAGAGCAAGCCAGCUUUCCAGGAACUGUUUAAGAAGCAGGCUCCAGAGCCAGCUGAAUACAGGCAGUGAAGCUGUGUGUAUACUCAGGCUGUUAAGAACAGAUGGUGGGAGCCACCUGGUAUCCUGCACUAGCCCAAAGCACAACCAGGUGCCUGCCUGAGCCCAGCUCCUCUCCCAGGAGCCUGGGAAACCACAGACAACAUAUUGUGCAUUAACCAGGCCAUGCAGAAACACCCACAGGAACCUGGCCUGGCUUCUAGGGCAGCUUCAUGAUACAGAAAGUCCCUACAUGCCUGCCUAUGUACACAUCAUACACAUGAAUAAGUAAAUAAAUGUUAUUUAUAUAAAUAGCUUUUACAGCCCAUCCUGCUGUCCUCAGACACUUGGUCACCAUAACCCCAUCUGCCUGAGACCAAUGGCAUAGAACUUACUACACAAUUCACCUAGAACUGUCUUCAGAGCAGCUGAGGGUGACCAAAGCACUUUGGAGGCACCACACAAGGACAGCUCCCUGUCACCUAGUGGAAACAAGAUGCAUUAACUGGGGACAGGCAGGCAGUGCUCAGGGACCAAGCACCAUGAGCUCCAGCAUGACAUGUGUCUCUAUACACACCAGGGUGCCAGCUAGCCUGGCUCAUGACCAACCUCAUUUGCUCCCUGUGCAGUUGGCACAUACCUGCCUCCAUAAUGUUAGUGUCAUCAGUAAGAUGUGGACACUUGUGUGAACAAGCAAGGAAAGAAAGCAGUAGAGAGGAGAGGAAAUGGGGCAGAUAGGUGGCUAUCAUCUGAAAAGCAGGUUAAGUGGGUAGAGUAAGGCCAAAAGGGAAAGCCCAAACCACAGUAAACAGAUAAAGCAGCUAGCCCUGGAGAACCCCAGUCACUGAAAAGAGCAAUCAGUUCUAAUCAGCUCUGGACAGGAGGUUCUGGCCAAUGCAAGUGGGCAAGAAAAAGACAGAAGAGGCCUUCCAAACAGGAAUGAGGAAUGAGUGCCCACACCCUGCAUUCAUGUUAGUUCUUGGGAAGCACUUAGGGCAUCUGAGCAGAGCUACAGGACAGAGCAUUUCCACCACAGGUUCACAAGCUAAAGACUCCAAGUCAAACCCCCACUGACAAAUAAAUAUGAAAGGCCCAAGAGGUGACUCAGUGAGUAAAAGUGUACACAACCAAACCAGACAACCCAAGUUUAAUCCCAUAUCCCCAGAUUGUCCCAUGACCUCCACUUAUGCACAUGCACAAAAUAAAUUAAUGUUAAAUU
ensembl:lincRNA Gm17435 predicted gene, 17435